rnacentral:rRNA from 1 species
UAAGGACAGCAGCAGCCGCGGGAAUACAGAGGGUGCGAGCGUUAAUCGGAUUUACUGGGCGUAAAGCGUGCGUAGGCGGCUUUUUAAGUCGGAUGUGAAAUCCCUGAGCUUAACUUAGGAAUUGCAUUCGAUACUGGGAAGCUAGAGUAUGGGAGAGGAUGGUAGAAUUCCAGGUGUAGCGGUGAAAUGCGUAGAGAUCUGGAGGAAUACCGAUGGCGAAGGCAGCCAUCUGGCCUAAUACUGACGCUGAGGUACGAAAGCAUGGGGAGCAAACAGGAUUAGAUACCCCCGUAGUCCCUGUCUCUUAUAC